rnacentral:rRNA from 1 species
UGUGUUCCAGGUAAAUCCGGUUCACUUUAACACUGAGGCGUGAUGACGAGGCACUACGGUGCUGAAGCAACAAAUGCCCUGCUUCCAGGAAAAGCCUCUAAGCAUCAGGUAACAUCAAAUCGUACCCCAAACCGACACAGGUGGUCAGGUAGAGAAUACCAAGGCGCUUGAGAGAACUCGGGUGAAGGAACUAGGCAAAAUGGUGCCGUAACUUCGGGAGAAGGCACGCUGACACGUAGGUGAAGUGAUUUACUCAUGGAGCUGAAGUCAGUCGAAGAUACCAGCUGGCUGCAACUGUUUAUUAAAAACACAGCACUGUGCAAACACGAAAGUGGACGUAUACGGUGUGACGCCUGCCCGGUGCCGGAAGGUUAAUUGAUGGGGUCAGCGCAAGCGAAGCUCCUGAUCGAAGCCCCGGUAAACGGCGGCCGUAACUAUAACGGUCCUAAGGUAGCGAAAUUCCUUGUCGGGUAAGUUCCGACCUGCACGAAUGGCGUAAUGAUGGCCAGGCUGUCUCCACCCGAGACUCAGUGAAAUUGAACUCGCUGUGAAGAUGCAGUGUACCCGCGGCAAGACGGAAAGACCCCGUGAACCUUUACUAUAGCUUGACACUGAACAUUGAGCCUUGAUGUGUAGGAUAGGUGGGAGGCUUUGAAGUGUGGACGCCAGUCUGCAUGGAGCCGACCUUGAAAUACCACCCUUUAAUGUUUGAUGUUCUAACGUGGACCCGUGAUCCGGGUUGCGGACAGUGUCUGGUGGGUAGUUUGACUGGGGCGGUCUCCUCCUAAAGAGUAACGGAGGAGCACGAAGGUUGGCUAAUCCUGGUCGGACAUCAGGAGGUUAGUGCAAUGGCAUAAGCCAGCUUGACUGCGAGCGUGACGGCGCGAGCAGGUGCGAAAGCAGGUCAUAGUGAUCCGGUGGUUCUGAAUGGAAGGGCCAUCGCUCAACGGAUAAAAGGUACUCCGGGGAUAACAGGCUGAUACCGCCCAAGAGUUCAUAUCGACGGCGGUGUUUGGCACCUCGAUGUCGGCUCAUCACAUCCUGGGGCUGAAGUAGGUCCCAAGGGUAUGGCUGUUCGCCAUUUAAAGUGGUACGCGAGCUGGGUUUAGAACGUCGUGAGACAGUUCGGUCCCUAUCUGCCGUGGGCGCUGGAGAACUGAGGGGGGCUGCUCCUAGUACGAGAGGACCGGAGUGGACGCAUCACUGGUGUUCGGGUUGUCAUGCCAAUGGCACUGCCCGGUAGCUAAAUGCGGAAGAGAUAAGUGCUGAAAGCAUCUAAGCACGAAACUUGCCCCGAGAUGAGUUCUCCCUGAGACUUUAGGUCUCCUGAAGGAACGUUGAAGACGACGACGUUGAUAGGCCGGGUGUGUAAGCGCAGCGAUGCGUUGAGCUAACCGGUACUAAUGAACCGUGAGGCUUAACCUU